rnacentral:rRNA from 1 species
GCCUUUGACUAUACCAGUCUGAAAGUGCCUGAUCUUGUCAAAUCUCAGAAGUAAUGCAGACUUGGGCCUGCUUAGUACAUGUAUGGGAGACCAACUAGGAACCUCAGGUGCCGUAAGCU